rnacentral:rRNA from 1 species
CCUACGGGUGGCAGCAGUCGAGAAUCAUUCACAAUGGGGGAAACCCUGAUGGUGCGACGCCACGUGGGGGAAUGAAGGUCUUCGGAUUGUAAACCCCUGUCAUGUGGGAGCAAAUUAAAAAGAUAGUACCACAAGAGGAAGAGACGGCUAACUCUGUGCCAGCAGCCGCGGUAAUACAGAGGUCUCAAGCGUUGUUCGGAAUCACUGGGCGUAAGGCGUGCGUAGGCUGUUUCGUAAGUCGUGUGUGAAAGGCGCGGGCUCAACCCGCGGACGGCACAUGAUACUGCGAGACUAGAGUAAUGGAGGGGGAACCGGAAUUCUCGGUGUAGCAGUGAAAUGCGUAGAUAUCGAGAGGAACACUCGUGGCGAAGGCGGGUUCCUGGACAUUAACUGACGCUGAGGCACGAAGGCCAGGGGAGCGAAAGGGAUUAGAUACCCGAGUAGUC